GCUCAGAACGAACGCUGGCGGCAGGCUUAACACAUGCAAGUCGAGCGCUGUAGCAAUACAGAGCGGCAGACGGGUGAGUAACGCGUGGGAAUCUACCCAUCUCUACGGAAUAACUCAGGGAAACUUGUGCUAAUACCGUAUACGCCCUUCGGGGGAAAGAUUUAUCGGAGAUGGAUGAGCCCGCGUUGGAUUAGCUAGUUGGUGGGGUAAAGGCCUACCAAGGCGACGAUCCAUAGCUGGUCUGAGAGGAUGAUCAGCCACAUUGGGACUGAGACACGGCCCAAACUCCUACGGGAGGCAGCAGUGGGGAAUAUUGGACAAUGGGCGCAAGCCUGAUCCAGCCAUGCCGCGUGUGUGAUGAAGGCCUUAGGGUUGUAAAGCACUUUCACCGGAGAAGAUAAUGACGGUAUCCGGAGAAGAAGCCCCGGCUAACU
rnacentral:rRNA from 1 species